rnacentral:rRNA from 1 species
AUGUUUCCUGGAUUUUGUAGAGAGUGUGAAUACAUUGGCAGGCUACUGAAUUCACCGAGUACAAACUGCUUUGCUCCUGAUGCAUCUGAUUCCCAAAUAUUUAUGGACCCCUUUGGAUCAUCUCUCGACGCUUUUCUCUGGGUGCUGUUAGCUACAUAUUUGCACUCUAACAUGUCAAACAGAAGGAAGAAUAAGUAUCAAAGUGUAUAUGAACUUAUGGACGUUGCUAUAUGUUCGCGUGAAUAUGGACUUAUAUAUAGCACAAGCAUUACUCACAAAAGUGAAGGUUGGUGGAGUAUUUACUUUCAUUGUUUAUCUUUCUGUGGCAUUUUCCCCAUUGAUGAGUGA